GGCUUAGCUGUCUCCUUUUUCCAGCCAAUGAAAUUGAUCUUUCCGUGCAGAAGCGGGAAUAACAACAUAAGACGAGAAGACCCUAUGGAGCUUUAGACACUAAGACAGAUCACGUCAAACACCCCAGUUUAACGGGCUGAACUAAAUGGACCCUGUCCUAAUGUCUUUGGUUGGGGCGACCCUGGGGAGACAAAUAACCCCCAUGUGGAAUGGAAACACCAUAUUUCCAGAACCAAGAGCUAACCGCUCUAAGGAGCAGAAUUUCUGACCAUUUUAGAUCCGGCUACUGCCGAUCAGCGGACCGAGUUA
rnacentral:rRNA from 1 species